UGGGGAAUAUUGCACAAUGGGCGCAAGCCUGAUGCAGCCAUGCCGCGUGUGUGAAGAAGGCCUUCGGGUUGUAAAGCACUUUCAGCGGGGAGGAAGGCGAUAAGGUUAAUAACCUCAUCGAUUGACGUUACCCGCAGAAGAAGCACCGGCUAACUCCGUGCCAGCAGCCGCGGUAAUACGGAGGGUGCAAGCGUUAAUCGGAAUUACUGGGCGUAAAGCGCACGCAGGCGGUUGAUUGAGUCAGAUGUGAAAUCCCCGGGCUUAACCCGGGAAUUGCAUCUGAUACUGGUCAGCUAGAGUCUUGUAGAGGGGGGUAGAAUUCCAUGUGUAGCGAUGAAAUGCGUAGAGAUGUGGAGGAAUACCGGUGGCGAAGGCGGCCCCCUGGACAAAGACUGACGCUCAGGUGCGAAAGCGUGGGGAGCAAACAGG
rnacentral:rRNA from 1 species